rnacentral:miRNA from 1 species
UUUGUGGUGUAAGUAUUUCCCAUGCAGUAUUUGGCACAUACUUCUGCUAAAA